rnacentral:rRNA from 1 species
GACGAACGCUGGCGGCGUGCUUAACACAUGCAAGUCGAACGGAAAGGCCCUGCUUUUGUGGGGUGCUCGAGUGGCGAACGGGUGAGUAACACGUGAGUAACCUGCCCUUGACUUUGGGAUAACUUCAGGAAACUGGGGCUAAUACCGGAUAGGAGCUCCUGCUGCAUGGUGGGGGUUGGAAAGUUUCGGCGGUUGGGGAUGGACUCGCGGCUUAUCAGCUUGUUGGUGGGGUAGCGGCUUACCAAGGCUUUGACGGGUAGCCGGCCUGAGAGGGUGACCGGCCACAUUGGGACUGAGAUACGGCCCAGACUCCUAUGGGAGGCAGCAGUGGGGAAUAUUGCACAAUGGGCGGAAGCCUGAUGCAGCAACGCCGCGUGCGGGAUGACGGCCUUCGGGUUGUAAACCGCUUUCGCCUGUGACGAAGCGUGAGUGACGGUAAUGGGUAAAGAAGCACCGGCUAACUACGUG